UACGUAGGGCGCAAGCGUUAUCCGGAAUUAUUGGGCGUAAAGGGCUCGUAGGCGGUUUGUCGCGUCGGGAGUGAAAACUCAGGGCUUAACCCUGAGCCUGCUUCCGAUACGGGCGAGCUAGAAUUCGGUAGGGGAGACUGGAAUUCCUGGUGUAGCGGUGAAAUGCGCAGAUAUCAGGAGGAACACCGGUGGCGAAGGCGGGUCUCUGGGCCGAUAUUGACGCUGAGGAGCGAAAGCGUGGGGAGCGAACAGG
rnacentral:rRNA from 1 species